UGCAGUCGAGCGGUAGAGAGAAGCUUGCUUCUCUUGAGAGCGGCGGACGGGUGAGUAAUGCCUAGGAAUCUGCCUGGUAGUGGGGGAUAACGUUCGGAAACGGACGCUAAUACCGCAUACGUCCUACGGGAGAAAGCAGGGGACCUUCGGGCCUUGCGCUAUCAGAUGAGCCUAGGUCGGAUUAGCUAGUUGGUGAGGUAAUGGCUCACCAAGGCGACGAUCCGUAACUGGUCUGAGAGGAUGAUCAGUCACACUGGAACUGAGACACGGUCCAGACUCCUACGGGAGGCAGCAGUGGGGAAUAUUGGACAAUGGGCGAAAGCCUGAUCCAGCCAUGCCGCGUGUGUGAAGAAGGUCUUCGGAUUGUAAAGCACUUUAAGUUGGGAGGAAGGGUUGUAGAUUAAUACUCUGCAAUUUUGACGUUACCGACAGAAUAAGCACCGGCUAACUCUGUGCCAGCAGCCGCGGUAAUACAGAGGGUGCAAGCGUUAAUCGGAAUUACUGGGCGUAAAGCGCGCGUAGGUGGUUUGUUAAGUUGGAUGUGAAAUCCCCGGGCUCAACCUGGGAACUGCAUUCAAAACUGACUGACUAGAGUAUGGUAGAGGGUGGUGGAAUUUCCUGUGUAGCGGUGAAAUGCGUASMUACCAGGAAGGAACACCAGUGGCGAAGGCGACCACCUGGACUAAUACCUGACACUGAGU
rnacentral:rRNA from 1 species